GCAACUUCAGUGUUGAUGGUCACUAGCGGUGUUUUGGCCUUGGUGCUAUUUGUCAUGAUUUUACGCCCCCACCAUAACACGGGGGGCUUAAUACUAGUUUUAAAUUCAAAUAGCAGCAGAAAGGGAGGUUCGAUACAAACAUGCAGUAUUAUCCGAUAUGAAAGUAUUAAGACGAAAAUGUUUUGUUUUAAACCUUAAAAACAACUUGUUUGACUGGUGUCUUCUUCGAAUACACAAUCUAGAAAACCGAUUUCUGAUAAGCGCUCGGCAGCUAUAAUCCAAGGAAACCGUUUCUGAAAACUGAACAAAACCGUUGAUAGAAGGAAACGUUAUUUCGUUUACAUUCACAACUCCAAUUUCGCGAUCAACGGAUAAGAUCAACCGAAAUAGUUUUUCUGCAACCGGAGGUGGUUCGUUAAGUACCCUUUUGGAUCAACAACUAUGGGAACUAACGGCGAUGUCCGGCUUUGGUUUAUCACGAAUCGAGAAUCACGAGAACGAUAAUUUUCCAAGAAAAAAGAAACCAAGACGGAACUAGUAAAGAUGCUCAAGUUGCGGGUCAAGAAUUUGGUGCAGUUUUCUCAACGAUACUGACAAAAACUGAAGCUGAUCCCGACUCAUCUGGCAAUGAGUCAGAACGCGUGUACAUGAAGAACAUACUUUCGGACAUUGAGUCAAUGUUUGAGGAUUUUACCUUAAACAGGACCAGCAAGAUUGUGAACCCACAUCUGUUUGAUCAACUAGAAGCUCAAAAACCGGUUUUUGCCAAGAAACACGAGCCGAAGUUAAGGCGUAAGCUCGUGUUUGACUGUGUGAGCGAGUGCGUUGACUCGAGAUGUGCAGUUUGGUUAAGAGGGCUAGCAGUUGUAACAAGAAAAGACCGGUUGGUUGAAGAUGUGUGUAAUAAGGUCAAUGCAGUGGGAACAGAUGAAAAAUUGUAUGGUGGAUGAGCUUGUUGAGAAGGAUAUGAGUUGUGGUCAACAUAAAAAGUGGGUCGAUUUUGACUUGGAAGCAUUUGAAAUCGGAGUUGAGAUCGAGGGGCGACUACUUGGGUCGUUAAUCGAUGAGGCUAUUGUUGAUAUGUUGGUAUCUUAGGUAUGAUCGAAUGCACAAAAUCUUGUUGAUUGAUCUUAAGUUUAUGGUUUUUUUUCAUGCCAAGAUAGUUUUUAUUUUUGUAAAUUAAUUUCAAUAAAUUCGAUGUUUUAGGCUUUUUGGUUGAUUUUGUUGUGAAUUCUUUGUGAAUCAUAAUAAGCAAAUUCUUGUAUAUGGUAUUGAUCAA